rnacentral:rRNA from 1 species
UACAGAGGGGGCAAGCGUUGUUCGGAAUUACUGGGCGUAAAGGGCGCGUAGGCGGCCUGCUAAGUCGAACGUGAAAUCCCCGGGCUCAACCCGGGAACUGCGUCCGAUACUGGCAGGCUUGAAUUCGGGAGAGGGAUGCGGAAUUCCAGGUGUAGCGGUGAAAUGCGUAGAUAUCUGGAGGAACACCGGUGGCGAAGGCGGCAUCCUGGACCGAAAUUGACGCUGAUGCGCGAAAGCCAGGGGAGCGAACGGG